UGGGGAAUAUUGCACAAUGGGCGCAAGCCUGAUGCAGCAACGCCGCGUGAACGAUGAAGGUCUUCGGAUCGUAAAGUUCUGUUGCAGGGGAAGAUAAUGACGGUACCCUGUGAGGAAGCCCCGGCUAACUACGUGCCAGCAGCCGCGGUAAUACGUAGGGGGCUAGCGUUAUCCGGAUUUACUGGGCGUAAAGGGUGCGUAGGUGGUCUUUCAAGUCGGUGGUUAAAGGCUACGGCUCAACCGUAGUUAGCCUCCGAAACUGGAAGACUUGAGUGCAGGAGAGGAAAGUGGAAGUCCCAGUGUAGCGGUGAAAUGCGUAGAUAUUGGGAGGAACACCAGUAGCGAAGGCGGCUUUCUGGACUGCAACUGACACUGAGGCACGAAAGCGUGGGUAGCAAACAGG
rnacentral:rRNA from 1 species